rfam:Trametes pubescens strain FBCC735 TRAPTBscaffold_1045, whole genome shotgun sequence.
GGCGAUAUGGCCGAGCGGUCUAAGGCGCCAGACUAAGGUGAUCUUCUCAUCCUCCAGGAUUUGAACAUACGCUCGCUAUCUGGUCCGAAAGGGCGUGGGUUCGAAUCCCACUGUCGUCA